CCUACGGGAGGCAGCAGUGAGGAAUAUUGGUCAAUGGUCGGGAGACUGAACCAGCCAAGCCGCGUGAGGGAUGAAGGUACAGAGUAUCGUAAACCUCUUUUGUCAGGGAACAAAGGCGGGGACGUGUCCCCGGAUGAGUGUACCUGAAGAAAAAGCAUCGGCUAACUCCGUGCCAGCAGCCGCGGUAAUACGGAGGAUGCGAGCGUUAUCCGGAUUUAUUGGGUGAAAGGGGUGCGCAGGCGGUCUGUUAAGUCAGCGGGCAAAGCCCGGGGCUCAACCCCGGCCCGCCGUUGAAACUGGCAGUCUCGAGUUGGAGAGAAAUAUGCGGAAUGCGCGGUGUAGCGGUGAAAUGCAUAGAUAUCGCGCAGAACUCCGAUUGCGAAGGCAGCAUGCCGGCUCCACACUGACGCUGAGGCACCAAAGCGUGGGUAUCGAACAGGAUUAGAUACCCGGGUAGUC
rnacentral:rRNA from 1 species